rnacentral:rRNA from 1 species
GGUCUGGAAAGUCCGACGGUACAGGGUGAUAGUCCCGUACACCAAAAUGCACAGGCUGUGAACUCGAAGAGUAGGGCGGGACACGUGGUAUCCUGUCUGAAUAUGGGGGGACCAUCCUCCAAGGCUAAAUACUCCUGACUGACCGAUAGUGAACCAGUACCGUGAGGGAAAGGCGAAAAGAACCCCGGCGAGGGGAGUGAAAAAGAACCUGAAACCGUGUACGUACAAGCAGUGGGAGCACCUUCGGGUGUGACUGCGUACCUUUUGUAUAAUGGGUCAGCGACUUAUAUUCUGUAGCAAGGUUAACCGUAUAGGGGAGCCGCAGGGAAACCGAGUCUUAACUGGGCGUUAAGUUGCAGGGUAUAGACCCGAAACCCGGUGAUCUAGCCAUGGGCAGGUUGAAGGUUGGGUAACACUAACUGGAGGACCGAACCGACUAAUGUUGAAAAAUUAGCGGAUGACUUGUGGCUGGGGGUGAAAGGCCAAUCAAACCGGGAGAUAGCUGGUUCUCCCCGAAAGCU